rnacentral:rRNA from 1 species
UACGAAGGGGGCUAGCGUUGCUCGGAAUCACUGGGCGUAAAGCGCCCGUAGGCGGACUCUUAAGUCGGGGGUGAAAUCCUGGAGCUCAACUCCAGAACUGCCUUCGAUACUGAGAGUCUUCGAGUUCGGGAGAGGUGAGUGGAACUGCGAGUGUAGAGGUGAAAUUCGUAGAUAUUCGCAAGAACACCAGUGGCGAAGGCGGCUCACUGGCCCGAUACUGACGCUGAGGUGCGAAAGCGUGGGGAGCAAACAGG